CAAGUACUCCCUCCGUCCGGAAUUACUUGUCAUCAAAAUGGAUGUGUCUAGAACUAAAAUACAUCUAGAUACAUCCAUUUCAAGGACAAGUAUUUCUGGACGGAGGGAGUACAAG
rnacentral:pre_miRNA from 1 species